rnacentral:rRNA from 1 species
GGAGUUAGCCGGUGCUUCUUCUGUGAGUGAUGUCCUUCCUGCCGGCUAUUAACCCGCAGGCCUUCUUCCUCACUGAAAGUGCUUUACAACCCGAAGGCCUUCUUCACACACGCGGCAUGGCUGGAUCAGGGUUGCCCCCAUUGUCCAAUAUUCCCCACUGCUGCCUCCCGUAGGAGUCUGGGCCGUGUCUCAGUCCCAGUGUGGCUGAUCAUCCUCUCAGACCAGCUACGGAUCGUCGCCUUGGUGAGCCGUUACCUCACCAACCAGCUAAUCCGACAUAGGCUCAUCCGAUAGCGCGAGGCCCGAAGGUCCCCCGNUUUCCCCCGUAGGGCGUAUGCGGUAUUAGCCUGGGUUUCCCCCAGGUUAUCCCCCGACUACCGGGCAGAUUCCUAUGCAUUACUCACCCGUCCGCCGCUCGCCACCAGGGAGCAAGCUCCCCGUGCUGCCGCUCGACUUGCAUGUGUUAGGCCUGCCGCCAGCGUUCAAUCUGAGCCAGAAUCGAACCCUGA